AUUGAACGCUGGCGGCAUGCCUUACACAUGCAAGUCGAACGGCAGCACGGGUGCUUGCACCUGGUGGCGAGUGGCGAACGGGUGAGUAAUACAUCGGAACAUGUCCUGUCGUGGGGGAUAGCCCGGCGAAAGCCGGAUUAAUACCGCAUACGAUCCACGGAUGAAAGCGGGGGACCUUCGGGCCUCGCGCUAUGGGGUUGGCCGAUGGCUGAUUAGCUAGUUGGUGGGGUAAAGGCCUACCAAGGCGACGAUCAGUAGCUGGUCUGAGAGGACGACCAGCCACACUGGGACUGAGGCACGGCCCAGACUCCUACGGGAGGCAGCAGUGGGGAAUUUUGGACAAUGGGCGAAAGCCUGAUCCAGCAAUGCCGCGUGUGUGAAGAAGGCCUUCGGGUUGUAAAGCACUUUUGUCCGGAAAGAAAUCCUUGACUCUAAUACAGUCGGGGGAUGACGGUACCGGAAGAAUAAGCACCGGCUAACUACGUG
rnacentral:rRNA from 1 species